AUUGAACGCUGGCGGUAGGCCUAACACAUGCAAGUCGAACGAGCGGCGGACGGGUGAGUAAUAUAUGGGAAACUGCCUGGUGGUGGGGGAUAACGAAUGGAAACUUACGCUAAUACCGCAUAGGAUUGAAUGAGCCGAUGGGGGAUGAGCUAGUUGGCGGGGUAAAGGCUCACCAAGGCGACGAUCCGUAGCUGGUCUGAGAGGAUGACCAGCCACACUGGAACUGAGACACGGUCCAGACUCCUACGGGAGGCAGCAGUGGGGAAUAGUGCGCAAUGGGCGCAAGCCUGAUCCAGCCAUGCCGCGUGGGUGAAGAAGGCCUUAGGGUUGUAAAGCACUUUUGUUGGGAAAGCGGUACCCAAAGAAUAAGCACCGGCUAACUCCGUGCCAGCAGCCGCGGUAAUUC
rnacentral:rRNA from 1 species